GUCAUUCACAUCAGCAACACAUACACUAAAACUGGAACAAUAUAACAAAGAUUAGCAUGGCCCUUGAUCAGGUAUGACACAUAAAUUCGUGACACAUCUCAUAUUUUU
ensembl:snRNA U6 U6 spliceosomal RNA